rnacentral:rRNA from 1 species
CCUACGGGAGGCAGCAGUGGGGAAUAUUGCACAAUGGGGGAAACCCUGAUGCAGCGACGCCGCGUGAGUGAAGAAGUAAUUCGUUAUGUAAAGCUCUAUCAGCAGGGAAGAAAAUGACGGUACCUGAGUAAGAAGCCCCGGCUAACUACGUGCCAGCAGCCGCGGUAAUACGUAGGGGGCAAGCGUUAUCCGGAUUUACUGGGUGUAAAGGGAGCGUAGACGGCAGUGCAAGUCUGGAGUGAAAGGCGGGGGCUCAACCCCCGGACUGCUCUGGAAACUGUACGGCUGGAGUGCAGGAGAGGUAGGUGGAAUUCCUAGUGUAGCGGUGAAAUGCGUAGAUAUUAGGAGGAACACCAGUGGCGAAGGCAGCUUACUGGACUGUAACUGACGUUGAGGCUCGAAAGCGUGGGGAGCGAACAGGAUUAGAUACCCGAGUAGUC